rnacentral:lncRNA from 1 species
CUAGCAAUCAACGAGACUCUGUGGGCGUAGGACCCUCCGAGCCAGGUGUGGGAUAUAAUCUCGUGGAGCGCCAUUUUUUAAGCCAGUCGGAAAAGCGCAGUAUUCGGGUGGGAGUGACCCGAUUUUCCAGGUGCCAUCCGUCACCCCUUUCUUUGACUCAGAAAGGGAACUCCCUGACCCCUUGCGCUUCCCAAGUGAGGCAAUGCCUCACCCUGCUUCGGCUCGCGCAUGGUGCGCGCACCCACUGACCUGCGCCCACUGUCUGGCACUCCCUAGUGAGAUGAACCCCGUACCUCAGAUGGAAAUGCAGAAAUCACCGUCUUCUGCGUCGCCCACGCUGGAAGCUGUAGACCGGAACUGUUCCUAUUCGGCCAUCUUGGCUCCUCCUCGCAGGCUUCUUCUAGGACAGUGAGGAGUAGGAAGCCAUUGGAGCAUGUGGUGAUGGUGGCAGCAGCAGGAACAACAGGGUGUGGGGUCAUACUUAGGCACAGGUACAGAAUCAAGCAAGAAUUGGCUAGGUGAUUCUUCUGCUACACCUGGCUAGGCUUGGCCGAAGCUCAGGGACAGCUCCUCUCAUAUGCCUGGUACCUUGUGGAUAUCUGGAAAACUGAAUUCAUCAAGGCCCCUUUCCCUCAGUGCUGUUGUCUCUCACCUGGUUUCUCUAGUUCUUGUAUUGUUUUGCUUAUUGGUGUUUAAUUAAAAACCAAACAACUUUUCCUAUUAACUUGAUGCUACUUAUUAAUUGAAAUGAGGAGACUGACUCUGGAUAUUGGGAAAAUUUAUGGGCACAUACAGAGGAAAAGACAUGUGGGGACAUAAUGAGAGGACAGCCAUCUGCAAGCCAAGAAGAGAAUCCUCACCAGAAACCAACUUGACUGGAAUCUUGAUCUUGAACUUCUUGCUUCCAGAAUUAUGAGAAAAUAAAUUGUUGUUUAACCCACACAGUCUAUUGUACUUAGUUGUAGCAGUCUGAGAAGACUAAUACAUUGAUAAACUGGUCAGUUACAACAAUGAAUAUAUUAUUUAUACAUUAUAUAAAUGAUUAUAGUUUCUGUAUUAGCUUAGAUUUUGCAAAUUUGUCAAUAGCUUUGUCCAAGUUGAUUUUCUUUAUAUAUUCCUAUUUCAUAGACUAUAUUAGCUAGAUUUGUCAAUCUAUCUUACUCAUAAUGACUGAAGAACACUUUUAAAUUCAAUUUAAAAGGUUUUUGUCACAUAAAGCAACAAAUAUAAAACUAGAAAAAAUAUAAAUAUGAAUAUAAAUUUGAAGGAAAUUAAUAAAAAUCGUAUUGUACCAUAUAUUCCAGAAAUUUUAAACACUGAUGAAAACUUCAAGUGGUACCAAGGAAUGAGAGAAUUGAAGUAAUUCAAGUGUUAUAUUUCAUCUUUUCUAUCACUAGGUUGUCAUCAAUUAUUUCAAAUCUGUUUUUUUUUUUAUUGUAAUUAAACUUCUAAGUUCAGGGACACAUGUGAAGGUUUGUUAUAUGGGUAGACUUGUGUCAUAGGGUUUUGUUGUACAGAUUACUUCAUGAAUCCGUUAUUAAGUGCAGUACCCAUUAGUUAUUUUUUCUGAUCCUCUCCUUCCUUGCACCCUCCACCCUCUGAUAAGACCAACUGUCUGUUGUUCCCUCUAUGUGUCCAUAUGUACUCAUCAUUCAGCACCCACUUGUGAGAACAUACAAUAUUUGUUUUUCUGUUCCUGAAUUAGUUUGCUAAGGAUAAUGGCCUCCAGCUGCAUGAUGCUCCUGCAAGGGGCAUGAUCUUAUUCUUUCUUGUGGCUGCAUAGUAUUCCACGGUGUAUAUGUACCACAUUUUCUUUAUUCAAUCUGUCAUUGAUGGGAAUUUAGGUUGAUUCCAUGUCUUUGCUAUUGAGAAUAGUGCUGCAAUGAACAUAUGCAUGCAUGUGUCUUUAUGACAGAAUGAUUUAUAUUCCUUUAGGUAUAUCCCCAGUAUUGGGAUUCUGGGGUCUAAUGAUAUUUCCAUUUUUAGGUCUUUGAGGAAUUGCCACACUGUUUUCCACAGUGAUUGAACUAAUUUACAACCUUCAAAACAGUGCAUAGGCAUUCCUUUUUCUCUGCUACCUUGCUAGCACUUAUUUAUUUAUUUUUGACUUUUUAAUAAUAGCUAUUCUGACUGGUGUGAGAAUCUUCUGCUUAACUCAGGAAUGUGUAGCUCCACGAGAGUAGCUCCCCAGCACCCAAAGAGAGCUUGAAGGAUUCAAAACCGUUAUGAACUUCCUCUUAAAAUGAACAUAUGUAGUUAUGUCUACAUGCAUCAGGGACUGACUGGAUGACUGAGGAUUCUUUGAAUUAACUUUUAUGAAGAUUACAACAUUUAUUAAAGAACAAGUAAUUCAAAUGUGCUAAUUUGUAACUUAAAUAAUAUGUUAUUGAAAAUCAAUAGUAAUCUGUGCAAUUAUUUAGAACUUAGACUAGUAGAAGCCUUUAAAGACAGGACUGUUUAUCAGUGAUGUUGCUUAGAAUUACUGGCAUACUUUGAUAAUAAAAAAGAGAUUAUUUUUAAGUUAGUUUUAUCAUUGCUUUUAAAUGCUCCACAAGCAAUGCACCUCCUUAUCCUAUUGCUCUGCCCUAGGUAAGUCCCUGGAAAUUAUAAUAGUAGUUAAUAUUUGUUGAGUAAUUCAGAGUUAAUGCAUGUUUAAUCAUUGUCAUGAAUAAAUCAGCUGAAUGAGUAGGAAUAUCCCAAAUGCCUUUCCAAUAUGUUUUUUGGUGGCUUUUGCCCAAGGUUUUUUUUUUUUUUCUCUUGGUUUAGAAGACUUAGGGCUGACUAUUCAAUACCAUUGAAAAUAUUAGAUCAAAGCAAAAAGAACAAAGCCAGAGGCAUCACAUUACCUGGCUUCAAACUAUACUACAAAGCUACAGUAAUCAAAACAGCAUGGUACUGGUGCAAAAACAGACAUACAGAAAAUAGAACAGAAUAGAUAACCCAGAAAUAAAGCCACACACUUACAGCCAUUUUAUCUUUGACUAAGUUGACAAAAAUAAGCAAUGGAGAAAGUACUCCCUAUUCAAUAAAUGGUGUUGGGAUAACUGGCUAACCAUAUGCAGAAUAAAGAGACUGAACACCUACCUUUUACCAUAUACAAAAAUUAAUUCAAAAUGGAUUAAAAUUUUAAAUGUAACACCUCAAACUAUAAGACUUUUAGGAGAAAACCUAGGAAACACCAUUCUGGACAUAGACCUUGGGAAAGAAUUUAGGGCAAAGUCCUAAAAAGUAAUUGCAACAAAAACAAAAAUUGACACAUGGAACCUAAUUAAACCAAAGAGCUUCUGCACAGCAAAAGAAACUAACAACAGAGUAAAAAGACAACCUACAGAAUGGGUAAAAUAUUCACAAACUUUGCAUCUGACAAAGGUCUAAUUGGGAAAAUCUAUAAGGAAGUUAAGCAAUUGAAAAAGCAAAAAUCAAAUUACCUCAUUAAAAAGUAGCCGAAGAACAUGAACAGACAGUUCUCAAAAGAAGACAUACAAGCAGCCAACAAGCAUAUAAAAAAUGCUCAACAUCAGUAAUUAUCAGAGAAUGCAAAUCAAAACCACAAUAAGAUACCAUCUCACACCAUUCAGAAUGGCUAUUAACAAAAAGUCAGAAAACAGCCUGCUGGUGAGGCUGUGGAGAAAAGGGAAUGUGUAUACACUGUUGGUGGAAAAGUAAAUUAGUUCAGUCACUGUGGAAAGCAGUCUGGAGAUUUCUCAAAAAAUUUAAAACAGAAGUAACUUUUGUCCCAACAAUCUCAUUACUGGGUAUAUAUCCAAAAGAAAAUAAAUCUUUCUACCAAAAAGACACACAUACUCACAUGUUCAUUGAAGCACUAUUCACAAUAUCAAAAACAUGGAAUCAACCUAGGUGCCCAUCAAUGGUAGAUUGGAUAAAGAAAAUAUAGUACAUGUACACUAAGGAACACUACACAGCCAUAAAAGGAAUAAAGUCAUGUUCUUUGCAGCAACUUGGAUGCAGUUGGAGACCAUAAUCCUAAGUGAAUUAAUGCAGGGACAGAAAACCAACUACUGCACAUUCUUGCCUAUAAGUGGGAGCUAAAUGUGGGGUACUCAUGGACAUAAAGAUGGCAACAAAUGAGAGUGGGGACUACUGGAAGGGAGGUUUUCCCCUGGAGGGUGGCAAGAGGUGAAAAACUAACUGUUGAGCACUAUGCUGACUUCCUGGGUGAUGGGUUCAAUCAUACCCCAAACUUCAGCAUCACAUAAUAUACCCAGGUAACGAACUUGCACAUAUACCCACCCUGAAUCUAAAAUAAAAGUUGAAAUUAUAAACUAACAUAAAAUAUAAAAUAAGUAGAUCAACAAGUUGAGUUGGGAUUGUAUGUGAUGGAAGGGAAGAACACAUGGGGUAAAGGCAAGUCUUUCAGGCUUAUUUCCUAUUUCUUUGAGCAUGGGUACUUGCAGCUCCAUUCCACUCUCUUCAUAAUUGUUUCCUCCACUAUCGAAUGACAACAUCAAAAUAUAUAAUAUUGGUAAAAGUAAUCAUAUUGUUUUCCUAUAUUCUUUACAUUAGUAUUAUGGAAAUACACUUGUAGUAUACUUUUUGUUUAUUUACAAUAAUCAUUUGGGAGAAUUUGUCUGCUGUGAAAUAGAAUAAUAAAAAUUGUUUUACUCUUAGUACAGAUGCUAGAGGAAAUUCUUUCACUUU